rnacentral:misc_RNA from 1 species
AACGCACAUUGCGCCCCUUGGUAUUCCGAGGGGCAUGCCUGUUCGAGCGUCAUUAUGACCACUCAAGCCUGGCUUGGUAUUGGGGUUCGCGGUCCCGCGGCUCUUAAAAUCAGUGGCGGCGCCAUCUGGCUCUAAGCGUAGUAAUCUUUCUCGCUACAGGGUCCCGGUGGAUGCUUGCCAGCAACCCCCUAUUUUCUUAGGUUGACCUCGGAUCAGGUAGGGAUACCCGCUGAACUUAA